rnacentral:misc_RNA from 1 species
GAUGAAGAACGUAGCGAAAUGCGAUACGUAAUGUGAAUUGCAGAAUUCAGUGAAUCAUCGAAUCUUUGAACGCAUAUUGCGCUCUUUGGUAUUCCGAAGAGCAUGCUUGUUUGAGUAUCAGUAAACACCUCAAAGUCUUUUUUUUUUCUUGAAGAAAAAGAACUUGGACUUGAGCAAUCCCAACUCUUCUUUCAGAAGAGGCGGGUUGCUUGAAAUGCAGGUGCAGCUGGACAUUCUCCUGAGCUAAAAGCAUAGUCAUUUAGUCCCGUCAAACGGAUUAUUACUUUUGCUGCAGCUAACAUAAAGGGAGUUUGACCAUUUUGGCUGACUGAUGCAGGAAUUUCACAAGAGUCUUCAAAACGCUCUUGUUAAACUCGAUCUCAAAUCAAGUAAGACUACCCGCUGAACUUAAGCAUAUCAAUAAGCGGAGGA